UACAUAGGGGGCAAGCGUUAUCCGGAUUUACUGGGUGUAAAGGGUGCGUAGGCGGUUAGGAAAGUCAGAUGUGAAAACCCAUGGCUCAACCAUGGGAAUGCAUUUGAAACUUCUUGACUAGAGUACAGGAGAGGUAAGUGGAAUUUCUAGUGUAGCGGUAAAAUGCGUAGAUAUUAGGAGGAACACCAGUGGCGAAGGCGACUUACUGGACUGAAACUGACGCUGAGGCACGAAAGCAUGGGGAGCGAACAGG
rnacentral:rRNA from 1 species